rnacentral:lncRNA from 1 species
CAAGCCCAGCGAGGCAAGCACCAUCCUGACUUCUGGGGCCACAGAGUCCUUUUGUGGAGAGCAGUAUUUUCAUAUUUGCCGGAAGAGAAGAAACACCGAGUGGGCUGGCUAAGAACAAAUUCUUAAGCCCACUCCUUGAGCCACUCCACUCCUGCAUCAGAAUUUCCUAGGGCAAGACCUGGGAAUCACAAGGGCUUCAGGAAAUUCUUAUCAUAAUAAAAGUCUGGGUCCUACCGGUUGGUGGGUAAGUCUGUAGUUCUGGAGUCAGGCUAGUCCACGGCCACAUAAAUCCUGGAGCUACUAUGCUGUAACCAGGUGGGACGCCUCCCACAGCAUGGCUCGAUGAGCAGUGUGUAGGUCUACGCCCAGGAUCUGAACCAGUGAACCCCGGGCCACUGAAGCAGAGCACUUGAACUUAACCACUACGCCACCAGACCGGCCCCAACAGUAUUUACAUCUUUACUGUGUAUCUUUUUAGACUUUUCCCAUAGAAAUAUAAUAGAAUGAACCAUAUGAAUUGCUGAUAUCUGUCUAUUUUUAACUUAGAAGUGUUCAUUUCACGUGAUUCAAAUCAAUAUGUGCUCACCAUGUUAAUAUUAUACUCCUGGUAAAGUUUGCUGGUUGUGUACCUGGCAUCAAUUGUCUCAAAUUUUCCUCAGAGUAGAAUUUCUGAUUUUCAGCCGACUGCCUGACCUCCUGGAAAGAGAUUUUUCCCAGCCUCCUUCAUAGGCAGACAUGGCUAUAAGACUAACUUCUGGCAAUGUAAAUGAAAUGUUGUGAUGUGACUGCUGGGAAAUCUCCUAAAAAUAACAGUUGACAUACUGUUGGAGGAGGUCAUCAAGAGGAUGUGACUGCCGGUGACCCUCCAGCCGGACCCGGGCAAUCGGAGGUUCCUCGCCCCUCCCCUGUCCUUGGAAUGGACACUUCACAUACAGUUCCCCCAGUGGGAGCUGUUCCAACGACACGGCCUUGAGAGGGGAGGGUGUUGAGAGCAUCUGGAUGGCGUUCGUGACAGAAUCCAGUUAAGGCCUCCAUAUGAACUUUUAAGAUUCUGGGGGCAGGUGUGGAGAUCUCCUCGGCUUGCAGCCUCCAAGACAAGCCUAGGAAGUAAGUUCCCUUGCUUAUCAAACCUGCCGCCGACCGAUCUGGAGUGGUCUCUCUCUCUCUUUGGUCUCUCCUUGCCUGCUGUGUAUAGGGGC